AGAGAAUACGGAAUGAGCCGUGGAAGAAGGUAGUUAUAAAUACCCGCUACAACCACAUGACCAGUUACAAAGAUAAGGACCUGUAAUUAUCAUAAUGUCAUGAAUACUUCUUCCUUAAUUUGUUAUGAAUAUGUGUAUAUGCAUGUGUAUAUCUCCCCUCUCUUAUCCCCUUAUCACAUAACAUAGACAUAUUGACUUUAUAUCAUAGAAUGUAAUUAUUGUUAACUUUACAUCAUAGUAUUCAAGUUAUGGAAUAUCAAGAAGAGUAAACAUCAUUAAAAGACUUUGCAUCAUCUUAUUUGGAAAUCAACAUUCUGUCAUAGAUGCUAAUAGGAGCAGGGGACUGGAGAAGUGCUUAGGACAAUGAGACCUCAGAGAGUAAGGACCUCACAAGAAGAGACAAGGACAAGGUCUGCAGUCAUCUGCGGCAGGUGCUGACAUACGCGGGAUCCAAACCAGCAAUUCACACACCAUCGGAAUCAGCCAGGACAAAACAUCCUUGAAAGUGAGUGUCAACUCUGAACUGACUGUAUUUGUACCUACAA
rnacentral:lncRNA from 1 species